AAUACAAUAUUCAAUAAUUAAAUACACAAUGAGAGUAAUGAAUUACUGCUACUAAAUUGGAAUGAAAAAAUUUCAAUUAAAAUGUCUCAAGUAUCAUAGAUCGUAAAAGAUUGAUGCUAACCUCCUUAGAAACAUUCAACGACACUAAGUUGAGAACCACUGCUUUAUAUCUUCUUCCGAAUCCAUAGCACAACCGAUCCCCACGAAAGCUUGUGCACUUCGAGUUGCUUCAUCUCGACCUCUGACCCUUCCACUCUGUCCCUAUUGGCUACGACACUUAAACUUUCUCAUCUAACAUGAGACAGGGGAGAUCAAAUCUGGAAUGGGUUAGAUCCGACCCGUGAAACCACUAGAGGCCGAAGAAUUGCAUCGACCAUCAUACACACACGGUGUCCUCGAAAAUUUUCUUGCGUUCAGUGAUUCGAAGAGAGGAAAAAUAACAUUUGUAACAAUUGUAAUAAUGAGUGGAGAGAGAUGAUACGUCCAUUAAUUGGCUGAGCAUCUGAUGAGAAAAAUGGCUGCCUCUUUAUUUAUGUGGCUCGCUCAAAUAUGGCCGAUAGAUGGCGUUUGAAUGUGACUCGUGUAUACAACGUGUUCAUUUGAGAUUCUUAUAAUUUGUACGCGAAUAUUAAUUUUUUUACGGAAAGAUAAAAAUAAGUUGAGAAUAUGUUUCUAAAAGAGGUUAAAAUAUUUGAUAUAUAUGAAUAUGUACAUUUGGAAAAUGUAAAAAGAGAUGUUGGAAAUUUUGGAAUUUUGUUUGCUGUUGGAAUAUUAGAUUUGAAUUAGACGAUUGAUGGAAUGUGCCUUAAAUAUUUGAGAUAAGGAAAGAUUAAGAAAUAUAAAAAUUACUAACAAAAAUUCAUACAUCAAUUAAUCUUUUCUCUAAUAUGAUUCAAGAAAAUUUAUGGAUAAUUAACUUUUAACUUUUAUUGAAUAAAUUAUUCAUAUUUUUCAUCCUCAAAUAAAUGGAAUUGAAAAUAAGAUAAGUAGACAACAUAGAUCAUAUAUUAUUGGGUAAUAAAUAAAGAUAAAAAUUAUAAAGAAAUUUUUAUAAUAUGAAAAAGAAUAUAAAGAACAUAAAAAAAGUUCUAAUCUAUUCAUAUCGGAGAAUGAGAAAUAUAAAUAUAUUUGCAAAGGAUUAGAUUCAAGAUACGAUUUGAGGAACGUUACCUUGGUAUCUGAAAAGCGAUUUCAUCGAGGGAAUCGCUGGGCUGCAACGGAGCACGCUCAAAGAGCCUGCUCGGGCCCCUGUG